AAGUUGUAGAUGGACACGAUAGCUUUACUGUAUUAAUUUUUAUGUGGUGCUGAGGAUUGAACCCAAGUACCUCAUAUGUGCUAGGGGAGUGGAAGGAGGAACAAGGUUUGUUUUCCGUCCCUAAUUUUUACCAUGCAUGCAAAGCGCUGCAGCUCAGGUGGAUUUCCAGAGCACUUCCGGGCAGUGCAUGACCCCUGUGGAUCUGGGGCAGCCCCAGAAAUUUCAUCUUUAUUACAGAGGCAGGGAGCAGGUUUCUGCAGCAGUUUCAUCAUCUGGAAGCUGGAAUCUCACUGCAUCUCAGGUUGAAGAACAGCCACAGCCCCAGCACACCCCAAAGCUCAUCUCUUGAUACAACAUGAAAAAGAAAUGGAAAACUAACGAUGUGUGAAUCAGAAGAAAAAUCAAGUCUCUCUUCACAAUGGAAUACUAUGUGGCUGAUAAAAAUAAAAUGAAAUUCACUGUGAUCUGACAUG
rnacentral:lncRNA from 1 species